UGGGGAGUCUUGGACAAUGGGGGCAACCCUGAUCCAGCGACGCCGCGUGGGUGACGAAGGCCUUAGGGUUGUAAAGCCCUUUUCUCUAGGAAGAAGGUCUGACGGUACUAGAGGAAUCAGCAUCGGCUAACUCCGUGCCAGCAGCCGCGGUAAGACGGAGGAUGCAAGCGUUAUCCGGAAUUAUUGGGCGUAAAGCGUCCGUAGGCGGUUUAUCAAGUCAGUUGUUAAAGACUGCAGCUCAACUGUGGGCGGGCAACUCAAACUGAUGAACUAGAGUGCGGUAGGGGUAGAGGGAAUUCCCAGUGUAGCGGUGAAAUGCGUAGAUAUUGGGAAGAACACCAGUGGCGAAGGCGCUCUACUGGGCCGCAACUGACGCUGAGGGACGAAAGCUAGGGGAGCGAAAGGGAUUAGAUACCCGCGUAGUCC
rnacentral:rRNA from 1 species